AAAACGGCGUCGUUUUGGUAUCCCCUCCAAUGACAAGGCUGUAUUAUUUUCUUUUCCCUUUAAUUUGAAGCAGCUCGAACCUUUUCAUCCAUUGUGGUGGGGCCGGCUGCGAUUUUCUUUUUGCUUUUCUUUUUGUUCUCCCAAACACUGCCAUCUUUCUUCGCCUACAAUUACUGACCGCUCUUUUUUUUCUUUAUUUUUUUUCUUCUGCCUUCUUCUUCUCUUCAAUCGACCCCUCCUAUCCAAGUACAGACAACAUCUCCCCUCACCUGUCUCUCCACGAAUCCGCCGCCGUCUCUCUCAAAUGGAGCAGGGCUCGCCGCUUCCGGCGGUGACGGCCAUCGACGACGCCGUUUCUGCCACCUACGGGAAAGUUCACUGUAGUCCUCCUGCUGGCUGUUGUCGCAAAUUCACAAGGUACCGAUGUUGCUAGAGAAUGGAGCAAGGAGGUCUAAGAAAUUUCCCAAUCGAUAAUGUGCUUGCCAAGGUCUUCCUUCUCCUCUUAUUUUUGCAUCAUGCUCUCUGCCAAUCUAUUCUUAUUUUCCAGUUGUACUUCAAAGGUUUGACAUCUCUCUAUGGGAUAUUGAAAUAUUUUUACUUUCAUUUCACUAGCUAUUUCUAUUUUU